rnacentral:rRNA from 1 species
AGUGGAUGGGGAGCAACCUAGUUGUGCGUGUGUAAAGGUAGUGCCAAGAAAAGCGAUGAUCAUGUUGAAAAUCAAUUCCCGGUACCCGAAACCGACACAGGUGGGCAAGUAGAGAAUACUAAGGGGCGCGAGGUAACUCUCUCCAAGGAACUCGGCAAAAUGACCCCGUAACUUAGGGAGAAGGGGUGCCACCGAGAGGUGGUCGCAGUGAAGAGGCCCAGGCGACUGUUUAGCAAAAACAUAGGUCUCUGCAAACUCGAAAGAGGAGGUAUAGGGGCUGACGCCUGCCCAGUGCCGGAAGGUUAAAGAAGUUGGUCAGUUUUAGGAUGAAGCUAGCGACUGAAGCCCCGGUGAACGGCGGCCGUAACUAUAACGGUCCUAAGGUAGCGAAAUUCCUUGUCGGGUAAGUUCCGACCCGCACGAAAGGCGUAACGAUCUGGGCGCUGUCUCGGAGAGAGGCUCGGCGAAAUAGGAUUGUCUGUGAAGAUACGGACUACCUGCAUUUGGACAGAAAGACCCUAUGAAGCUUUACUAUAGCUUGGAAUUGUGUUCGGGCUUCCUGUGCGCAGGAUAGGUGGGAGGCGUAGAAGGUAUUCUUGUGGGGAUACUGGAGCCAACGGUGAGAUACCACUCUCAGGAGGCUAGAAUUCUAACUUAAUUAAGGACAGUUUCAGGUGGGUAGUUUGACUGGGGCGGUCGCCUCCAAAAAGGUAACGGAGGCGUACAAAGGUUCCCUCAGACUGGUUGGAAAUCAGUCGAAGAGUGCAAAGGCAGAAGGGAGCUUGACUGCGAGAAGUACAGUUCGAGCAGGGUGGAAACACGGUCUUAGUGAUCCGACGGUGCUGUGUGGAAGGGCCGUCGUUCAACGGAUAAAAGUUACUCUAGGAUAACAGGCUGAUCUCCCCCAAGAGUUCACAUCGACGGGGAGGUUUGGCACCUCGAUGUCGGCUCAUCGCAACCUGGGGCGGAAGUACGUCCCAAGGGUUGGGCUGUUCGCCCAUUAAAGCGGUACGUGAGCUGGGUUCAGAACGUCGUGAGACAGUUCGGUCCAUAUCCGAUGUAGGCGUGAGAAUAUUGAGAGGAGCCUUCCUUAGUACGAGAGGACCGGGAAGGACGCACCGCUGGUGUACCUGUUAUGAUGCCAAUUGUAAACGCAGGGUAGCCAAGUGCGGAGAGGAUAACCGCUGAAAGCAUCUAAGUGGGAAGCCCACCUCAAGAUGAGUAUUCUGGUGUAAGGUCACGGGAAGACGACCCGUAAAUAGGCACGAGGUGGAAGUGCAGAGAUGUAUGAAGCCGAAGUGUACUAAUAGACCGUCGGC